GAUGUGCGUCAGGUGCUGCUCCAGCAGGUGUUUGACAAUGCCAACCUAUCAGAUCCCUCCAUCAAAGACCCUGAGGUGCUGGUGUGGUUGGGCCAGAGACUCCGCCCACUUUUACCAAAUCUAACAGAGGAGCAUGUGGCCCCCCCUCUUCAACAUCGUCAGACACAGAGACUGCAACACCAGCCAAGAAACAGUGGCAUUGCUGAACUCUAUCCUACCAUCACUGUCCAACGGCACACAGGCUGUUGGCCAGCAUCAAAUAAUCAUCCCUCUCAGAGAAUCAACUCCACUACAUUGCUAUAGGAACGACAGCUUCUUCAUGUUCCUGAGACAAUCUUUCCUCAACUUUACAUUCCCAAAGUUGACCAACUUCCUCUCCCUUAUUCCACCACAGCGGGAAUCUGAGGUACAGUACAUUGAACUUGUUUCAGCUGCACUUCAACUUUUGGAAAGUGUGUUCUGGCCUCGAGUCACUGUGUAUCCUAUGCUAUCUGUGUUUCCAGCUGCUCAACACCAUGCAUCCCUCAGAGCUCAGCACCAUCCUCAGGAAGAUUGUGCAGACUAAUCUCUGCACAAUCUUCCGAAACUACAAAAAACAAAAUAACUCCAGAGUUCUGGAAACCAUAAGGACACACACUGCUGAUUGUGGUCACCAUUUUCAAGCACUCACUGAGUAUCCCUUUAGGAUUUACUGAAAGAAAAAACUCUGUUAAAU